rnacentral:lncRNA from 1 species
UAGGGGGCUAGGAUGAAAAAUUUUGUCCUGCAUUUUUUUUUAGUUGUAAUCUGUCCUGCCUUUUUAUUUUUCACUCUAUUCGGUCCUGCCUUUUUUUUUUUAGUUUAUCCUGACUUUUUUUUACCUAAAUUGUCAUCCUGACUUUUUUUUUUUGCAAGUGUCUCAUCCUGCCUUUUUUUUACUCAAAAUUCCUGUCCUGCCUAUUUUUUUCAAAUUUCAUCCUAGCCCCCCCCCCCUCUAAAA